AGGAUGAACGCUGGCGGUACGUCUGACACAUGCAAGUCGAACGGUAAGCCACCUUCGGGUGGCCUAGAGUGGCGAACGGCUGAGUAACACGUAGGAACCUACCCCUCAGUCUGGGAUAACGGGACGAAAGCCCCGCUAACACCGGAUAAUAUCGAAAGAUUGAAAGGUUACGCUGAGGGAGGGCCUGCGGGCUAUUAGCUUGUUGGUGAGGUAACGGCUCACCAAGGCGACGAUGGGUAGCUGGUCUGAGAGGACGAUCAGCCACACUGGGACUGAGACACGGCCCAGACUCCGUACGGGAGGCAGCAGUGGGGAAUCUUGCGCAAUGCGCGAAAGCGUGACGCAGCAACGCCGGCGGUAGGGGGGAAGAACGGGCCGUUCGGGUUACGUUAAACCCCGUUUCGAAGUAGGGAACGAAGCGUUUCGGCGGUGAAGUAGCCGCUUGGAGUGACGGUACCUCACAAGAACGCCCGGACUAACUACGU
rnacentral:rRNA from 1 species